AUAUAUAGAACUUUAUUUAAAAUAUUGUUACAAUUUAUUACUCUACACAACAUUUUUAAAACUUUUUUCUUCUUUUUCAUGUAUUUAUACUGGUUAGUAAACCUUCAAAGACCUUUUUAAAUAUAAAACCUUAUAGUUUUUUUUUAUUUUUUAGCUUGAGUUAAUUGUAGUCUUUAUACACUUAUUAAAUGAGAAACCGCAUGUCUUUUAACCACCGUUUGUGUUUAGGUAGUCUUCCGCGCAGCUGAACGAGCGCCUCAACGAUUGAAGCACGGGAAAUCCACCAAUCUUUACGAAAUCUGCUUCAUAAAGCAGAUUUCAAUAAAUAAAAGGCUCUGAGUUGGAGAAAAACGAGUCCGCUUCUUUUGUUAGGACUCUUUAAACAACACCUUAGUGAUGAAGAAGUUUAAUUUUUUUUUUUUUUUAUGUGUCAGCGUCUUCCUGCUGCUUUGGAAAACCUUUCAAAGCAGUUAACAGAUAACUUUAAGUAGGCAAAUAUUUUUAUAAACACAUCCACCUGUCAUCUUAAUUAAAGGUAAAAGAUGCAAACACUGAUCUGAUCUGGAUGAAUACUGAGUUUGCACUAGAGAUGCACCGAGAAGAACUGGGCGAAAAGGACAGAAAUCUAUUUUUUCCCAGUUAGUGAAGAGACUAUAAAAAAAACUAUACAAGUCAUAAUAACAACACUCUUCAGUGUGGACGUCAGAAGACGUCAAGCUAUUUUCAACCACAUACGUUGAAAGAAGUUAUUAAAAGGAAACUUUAAGUCGUUCAUUAAAUAGCGUUAGGUUCUCGGGGAUUACAAGAUGGCUGAUCGGAGUGAAGCAAACUUGCAUUUUUGGUCAUUUUGAGCUUCCAAACAGUCAUGAAAAAUACGGGAUUCUGUAGGAGUCUAAGUUUAACAUUAGAAGUGCUAAUUGUGCUAAUCAGUUUUACAAGAUACUGAGGGCAGCUUAAACUGUCUUCUUUAAACUUUAUGCUGUAUAUUUAAUAAUAUAUCUAUUUUACAGCAACUCAUCUCAAACACACACCCAGUGUGACGUCCCCUCUUAUUAGCUAAUGAUUGAAACCUCAUUUUACAUCCACGUGUUGCCAUUUCUGCUUCUAUUUUGAAAAGAAAAAAACAAAAAACUUUUCAUAUCCAUGUACUCAAGUCAUUUUUAUAGACGUUCGGUUUUCUGUGUAGUUCAGUAAUUUAUGAGUUAUGUAGACUAUUGCUUCAGUUUCACCCAUCGGUUGACUAUGAUUACUUUCUAGAGACUUUGUAUUACAGCCAAAUUCAAAAGAUUUUUGGUCCUGUUUUAUCCAGUUGACUGUUGUAAAUAUGACUGAUUACAAUCCAUAAUUAGGAGGAUAUUAACAUUUCGAUCCAUCCACAAAAUUACAACAGACUACAAGUGGGCACUAGAAAAAUUCAUUUAAAAAGUCGUUAGUUGUUAAAGCUUGUAGGCUACAAAGCGUUCCAAUGAAGAGUAAGAAUCUGUACUGGUCAUUUCGUCUCCAACAUUUUGUACUUUUGCAGUUUUGGUCUAUUCAUACUUGAAAAAGUCGGAUUCAUAAAGGAGCCGUCAGUCACAGGACGUUUUGUACCAACCAGGUGUCAUUUAAUACCCAGCUUGGGACGCUUCACACUGGCUUCGAGAACUGAGUCUUUCAUUCUAACUCUACCAAAAUUUGACUGUCUACUCAUAUAAACAGUCAGAGCGUAUUCGGUUUUGAUCAAGGAUCAUAAUCUCUCAUAUUUCAUAAGUGUCAAGUAGUCUAAACAACAAUCAGAAUCCCAAUCAAUGCAAAAAAGAUGGCAAAACAUUAAAGACUCAAAAACAAUAUGAAGUAUUAUGUUAUUAAAUUAAAGAGUGUCAAACUGCCUUGAGAAAUAAUCUGUACGCAUGCUAGCAAAAAUCCAGGAACUUUCAAAAAUGAACAUUUUACAUGGCAAUUUAUGGGACUAAGAAGUGAUUUUUGAAAAGUGGAUUAAUCACAACCAAUACAGUAAUUGCAAUUUUAAGUAAAAUUAAUGCAAUGAAAAAGGUUUUUAAUGAAGUGCAGCUUUUGUUUUCAUGCAUGCAAGUCUGAAUAUAUUUAUACUGGUCUUCAAUCACAUGCACAUAGCACACAUUGAGGCCACGCCCCCUACAUGCAGAGUGUGCUCUUCCAUCACAGGCACAGAUUGUUUGUAUUUCCAAAUAUGUCUAAUUGGAAAAAGGUUUUACUUGCAAAUGGGACACGGACGUCUGACAAAACAAAUAUAGUUACAUUUAUGUAAUUUAUUUCUAGCUAUUUCCCAUAAUUACAAAGGAAAGUUUCAAAUUUGACAUUUUUGAAAGUUUCUGACUUUGCAAUCCUGCUUGUAGAAGAGUUUUUGUUUUGGGGUCAAAUGGCAACACAUGGCUCUGCAGCAGAGGAAUAAACCUGCUAAAGGACAAAUAAAAAAAAA